AGCUUUUUAGAAGACAUAUAUAGUAAAGUGCAGAGUGCACAAUCUAAGCAGGCAACCCAAACUCUAGAUCAAACAGAAUAUGAGUCACUGCCAUAUGCCAUGUCUGAAUACAAAGUGGUUAAGGAACUUGCUAGGAAAGGAAGCAAGAGAGUGGCUUACAAAAGAUAUCCCACUGUAUACAACCUUCUUAGAAACGAUAAAGACCAGAGAAAAACAGAAAAAAUGCCAGGAAUCUAUAGAAUCCCAACAGUAAAUAAUACGAACAAUAGGGAAGAAGUUUAUAUAGGCGUUACCGGAAGACUGCUAGAGAU
rnacentral:lncRNA from 1 species